CACGUAGGGUGCGAGCGUUGUCCGGAAUUAUUGGGCGUAAAGAGCUCGUAGGCGGUGUGUCGCGUCGGCCGUGAAAACCUGCAGCUUAACUGUGGGCUUGCGGUCGAUACGGGCAGACUGGAGUACUGCAGGGGAGACUGGAAUUCCUGGUGUAGCGGUGAAAUGCGCAGAUAUCAGGAGGAACACCGGUGGCGAAGGCGGGUCUCUGGGCAGUAACUGACGCUGGAGGAGCGAAAAGCGUGGGGAGCGAACAGG
rnacentral:rRNA from 1 species